AUGGCCCGCGCUUUCUUCCACACCCCGCAGCGGCAGCACCACCUCGCCGAGCUCCGCAUUGAGGGCGACCAGUCGCCGAUCGCCUUCUCCGACCCCUGCGCCGCCGGCCGCAAGCGCCGCUGCCUCUUCCCCGCCUUCUCCCCGCGCAAGAAGAUUUUGGUCGACCUGCCCCCCUUCUCCUCCGCGCCCGCGCCUUCCCCGCCACCCAGCGGCGGCCGCACCGUCAGCGUUUUCUCGUCGGCGCUGUCGCCUUCCAGCGGAAGCAACGGAAGCUUCGCGUUCUGCGCUUUGCCGGAGCAGCCAUCGCCCAAGGGCUCCAACCGCAGCGGCGCCUUCGCGUUCUUGACUUCGCCGGAGCGGUCGCUGACACCCAUGGGUUCCACCGCCAGCAGCGGUUUUGGGGUCUUUUCUUCUCGGCCGUCGUUAUCUCCCGGCCACGGGGGCUCCAACGGAACCGGCGCCAUCGCGUCCUUGGCUCCCCCGACGCCGACGCGCACGGGAUCCAACGGCAACGACGGCGGGGAACCGGUGUUCCUGGCUUCUCCGAACACGGCGCUCGGGCGGAAAGAUUCUUCAACGUCUGCGGCAGACAAGGUAUUGUCUCCCGCGGGUCCCCGGAUCAGCGGCGGUGGCGAUCUCGUCUUCUCGCCGCCACUCGUCCUCACGGCCUCCCGGACGUCGGCAUCUCCGGAGCGGAAGCCCGAGGGGAGCACCCUCUGGUCACGGCGCCGCGGGAACAAGCGGCAGUUGGAAGAGCAGCUGCAGGUCACCGUGCCGCUGAAGAAGGUCGCCAAGACGGAAGCGCUGGCCAUCGGCGACCCUACCCGUCGCGCCGCCCUGUCCGUGUCGUCGACCAGGCCGUGCUGCGCGUUCGUCAAUUCGCCGGCGAAGGCGAUCAAUCAGGAAGCCAACAAGGACAUCCUCGCCGCCAGCGGCGCAUCCUGCUCCUCAUCGCCGUAUCAGUCACCGGCGGGAACGAUCUGCACGUUCGACGCAUCGCCAACAAGGCCGCUGGAGAAGGCGAGCAAGCGGGAGAGCGAGGGCGGAGAUGGCCAUGGAGCGGCGGCGUGCCCAGGCGCCGAGGUGGUGGUGUGCGUGACCUGCUCGUGCGGUGCCCGGAAGGAGUUCUGCUUCGACCACCGCCACUGA
rnacentral:rRNA from 1 species